rnacentral:rRNA from 1 species
UACGAAGGGGGCUAGCGUUGCUCGGAAUCACUGGGCGUAAAGCGCACGUAGGCGGCUUUUUAAGUCAGGGGUGAAAUCCUGGAGCUCAACUCCAGAACUGCCUUUGAUACUGGAGAGCUUGAGUCCGGAAGAGGUGAGUGGAGCUCCGAGUGUAGAGGUGAAAUUCGUAGAUAUUCGGAAGAACACCAGUGGCGAAGGCGGCUCACUGGUCCGGUACUGACGCUGAGGUGCGAAAGCGUGGGGAGCGAACAGG